AUUGAACGCUGGCGGCAGGCCUAACACAUGCAAGUCGAGCGGAUGAAGUGAGCUUGCUCCUGGAUUCAGCGGCGGACGGGUGAGUAAUGCCUAGGAAUCUGCCUGGUAGUGGGGGAUAACGUCCGGAAACGGGCGCUAAUACCGCAUACGUCCUGAGGGAGAAAGUGGGGGAUCUUCGGACCUCACGCUAUCAGAUGAGCCUAGGUCGGAUGAGCUAGUUGGUGGGGUAAAGGCCUACCAAGGCGACGAUCCGUAACUGGUCUGAGAGGAUGAUCAGUCACACUGGAAGUGAGACACGGUCCAGACUCCUACGGGAGGCAGCAGUGGGGAAUAUUAGACAAUGGGCGAAAGCAUGAUCCAGCCAGGCAGCGUGUGUGAAGAAGGUCUUCGGAUUGUAAAGAACUUUAAGUUGGGAGGAAGGGCAGUAAGUUAAUACCUUGCUGUUGUGACGUUACCAACAGAAUAAGCACCGGCUAACUUCGUG
rnacentral:rRNA from 1 species